GACGCGCACGUGGUCUGCAGGCAGCUGGGCUGUGGCCGCGCCCUGAGCGCCCUGGGGGCCGCACACUUCGGAGCCGGGGCAGGGCGCAUCUGGCUGGACGAGCUGGGCUGCCAGGGCCACGAGUCUGCGCUGUGGCAGUGCCCGUCGGCGGGCUGGGGGCGGCACGACUGCAGGCACAAGGAGGACGCCGGCGUCUUCUGCUCAGGUCCUGCAGCCCGUCCACCUUGUCGUCCCCACCCAGACUCCGAGCUGGGCCUUGCUGACUGGCCUCUCUCUCUGCAGAGUUCACGGAUCUGAGGCUGCAGGACGACAGGCAGCCAUGCACAGGGCGGCUGGAAGUUUUCUACAAUGGGACUUGGGGUGGUGUCUGCCGGACCCUGAGUGCGGCCUCCCUGGGGGUCCUGUGUGGGCAGCUGGGCUGUGGGUCCCACGGGCAGCUGCAGGCCGGGGCAGGAAGCCGGUCUGCCCCUGAGUUUCUCUGGGUGGGCUCCAUCCAGUGCAGGGACAGGCAUGACCGGUCCCUGUGGCAGUGCCCGUCAGCCCCCUGGGACCAGCAUUCAUGCUCCAGCAGAGAGGAAGCGUGGGUCGUGUGCACAGUGAGCGAAGCAGGACCCCUGCACUUCCCGGUAUCGUCUGACGACAUCCCACAAGGAGACGUCCCCCUUGGAGAAGUCUC
rnacentral:lncRNA from 1 species